rnacentral:rRNA from 1 species
AUUGAACGCUGGCGGCAUGCCUUACACAUGCAAGUCGAACGGCAGCACGGGAGCAAUCCUGGUGGCGAGUGGCGAACGGGUGAGUAAUAUAUCGGAACGUGCCCGGUCGUGGGGAUAACGUAGCGAAAGCUACGCUAAUACCGCAUACGAUCUACGGAUGAAAGCGGGGGAUCGCAAGACCUCGCGCGAUUGGAGCGGCCGAUAUCAGAUUAGGCAGUUGGUGAGGUAAAGGCUCACCAAGCCGACGAUCUGUAGCUGGUCUGAGAGGACGACCAGCCACACUGGGACUGAGACACGGUCCAGACUCCUACGGGAGGCAGCAGUGGGGAAUUUUGGACAAUGGACGCAAGUCUGAUCCAGCCAUUCCGCGUGCAGGAUGAAGGCCCUCGGGUUGUAAACUGCUUUUGUACGGAACGAAAAGGUUUCUAUUAAUACUAGGAGCUCAUGACGGUACCGUAAGAAUAAGCACCGGCUAACUACGUGCC